AUCAGAUUAUUUUUCUUUAUGAUAUCAGAUGCAUGUUCUUUUAUUUUCAUCAUGUGAACUAGAUCCGUAGGUGUUAGAUUAGAUCUACGCAUGCGUAGAUUAAAAAUAGCUUUAAUCUAUCUUUCGUUGUAUGUUCAAAAUAAUUUUUAAAAAUUCUGCAUGCAUAACACCUUGAAACCCAACAGGGCCUUCAUUUGCUUCCUAAGCUCAUAGAAGGAAGCACACUAUAGCAUAACAUAGAGAAGUAUUUUUGCUUAGUCUCGCAUUCAUCGGUAACCGACUGGCC
rnacentral:lncRNA from 1 species